CAAUAAGGAAUAUUGGGCAAUGGAGGAAAGUUUGACCCAGCCAUGCGGGGAGAAGGAUGAGGUCGUUAUGCGUUUUAAACUUGUUUGAGGGGGGAAAAAACCUAAGUAUUGUUGCUUGGCGGUUGGUCCCCAAAAAAAAACCCCGGACUAAUUCCGCCCCAGCAGCGGGGUUAAUAGGGGGGGGCCAAGUUUUUUCGGGUUUCAGGGGGGUUAAAGGGGUGGGUGGGGGGAUAAUUAAGUCAGUGGUGAAAUCCCCGGGCUCAACGUGGGAACUCCCAUUAAUAGUAUUUUUCUUGAAUUGGGAUGAGGUGGGGGGAUUACAUCAUGUAGCGGUGAAAUGGUUAGAUAUGAUGUGGAACACCGAUUGGGAAGGCAGCUCAUUAAGCAGCGAUUGACGGUGAGGCAAGAAAGCGUGGGGAUCAAACAGGAUUAGAUACCCUGGUAGUCCACGCCAUAAACGAUGAUUACUCGACGUGCGCGAUACGCUGUCAGUGUCGCAGCGAACGCAUAAGUAUCCGCCUG
rnacentral:rRNA from 1 species